ACAACCAAUCUGGGUGUGAGACACUCC
rnacentral:misc_RNA from 1 species